UACGUAGGGUGCGAGCGUUAAUCGGAAUUACUGGGCGUAAAGCGCGCGUAGGCGGCUUUGCAAGUCGAUUGUGAAAUCCCCAGGCUUAACCUGGGAACUGCAUUCGAGACUGCAUAGCUAGAGUAUGGGAGAGGGAAGUGGAAUUUCAGGUGUAGCGGUGAAAUGCGUAGAUCUUGGAAAGACCACCAAUGGCGAAGGCACUCUACUGGGCCAUUACUGACACUAAGAGACGAAAGCUAGGGGAGCAAAUGGG
rnacentral:rRNA from 1 species